UCAUGGCCCUUACGACCAGGGCUACACACGUGCUACAAUGGCGCAUACAAAGAGAAGCGACCUCGCGAGAGCAAGCGGACCUCAUAAAGUGCGUCGUAGUCCGGAUUGGAGUCUGCAACUCGACUCCAUGAAGUCGGAAUCGCUAGUAAUCGUGGAUCAGAAUGCCACGGUGAAUACGUUCCCGGGCCUUGUACACACCGCCCGUCACACCAUGGGAGUGGGUUGCAAAA
rnacentral:rRNA from 1 species